rnacentral:rRNA from 1 species
UACGUAGGGGGCGAGCGUUGUCCGGAGUUACUGGGCGUAAAGGGCGUGCAGGCGGUGCAGUAAGUUCGGAGUGACAGUUCCCGGCUCAACUGGGAAAGGUCUUUGAAAACUGCUGGACUCGAGGGCCAGAGAGGGACAUAGAAUUCCGGGUGGAGUGGUGAAAUGCGUAGAUAUCCGGAGGAAUACCAAAGGCGAAGGCAGUGUCCUGGCUGGCAACUGACGCUGAGGCGCGAAAGCUAGGGGAG